rnacentral:sRNA from 1 species
UAGUUCAUUAUUAUUUGGCCGCCAAUCC